rnacentral:misc_RNA from 1 species
GAUGAAGAACGCAGCGAAUUGCGAUAUGUAAUGUGAAUUGCAGAAUUCAGUGAAUCAUCGAAUCUUUGAACGCACCUUGCGCCCUUUGGCCAUUCCGAAGGGCAUGCCUGUUUGAGUAUCAUGAACACCUCAACUCUUUAUGGUUUUCCAUGAUGAGCUUGGACUUUGGGGGUUUUGCUGGCCUAUGGUCGGCUCCUCUAAAAUAAAUCAGCUUACCGGUGUUUGGUGGGUAUCAUGGGUGUGAUAACUAUCUACGCUUGUGGUUUUUCCACCAGGGUAACCUUCAGCAGUGGAGGUUCACUGGAGCUUACAAAUGUCUCUCCUCCGUGAGGACAGCCCUUUGAAUGUUUGAUCUCAAAUCAGGUAGGACUACCCGCUGAACUUAAGCAUAUCAAUAAGCGGAGGA